AGUAAACAUGUGAUCUAAAAAAAGAUGUUUUCCAUCUCCAGAGAACAAGGCUUGAAAACAUGCGCGUGCGCUUAGUUCACAACCAGCUUCUUAUCAGAACUGUUUGCACCGUGAUGUGCUCCCAACAGUGAGGCUUCACGCAAGAUGAAGUGAAGAGAGAGAACACAAACGCAGGGGAGUAGCUGCUGCUGUUGAUGAUGUGAACCUCCCACAGAAGGAACAUGUGUUCGACUUGAAUGAAUAACAGCAUCAGCUACCAUGGAUUCGGGACUUCCCAUGGGAGCCAGCUCAAUGAAUCUCGCCCCACGGAGCAGAAACCGUUGUUACAGAUGGAAAGACCCAGAUCCUGGGAGCUCAGUGACUUGUCAAUGGUGAAAUGCCAGGAAGACCCUCUCCCUGUCCCCGAGAAGGAACUGAGGCCAGGCCAGGCGAAUUCACCUGCUCAGGUCCAACCUCAUUGAACUGAAGCUUCAGCCCCCAGCUCCCAGGCCAGAGGCCUCUUUCUCCUCCCUGCACCCCCACUACCAGCCUCCGCACCCAGGCCUCCCUUUCCUUGUGGGCAAGACAAGCCCAGGCCCUUCCCUGCAGAGGCUCUUUGAAGGAUGCCCUGUAGAAAGAGGGUAUCGAAGGCCUCCCUGGGUCUGAGAUAAACUCCGCUGCACUUGCACGGUUUACCCUUCAUGUUUCUUACACUCUCUGCACGCCAGGUAACACGCAUGGACAGCGGAUCCCAAGAGGACUUCGCAAUAUAAAACCACAUAGUUUUCUUUUUUUUUUUUAACUUGGAGCAACAUCUUGGGAAAUCUACCUCAAAUUGAGACACAAACUAAUUGUGUUAACAAAUGCUGCAGUGUGGUUUCAACAGUUUCCUCUUCCCCAGAGAAGCUGACGUGCGCUGUCCUGGCCAAAUGCUUUUGAAGUAGCAGCCCCGAGGUUACUGUUGUGAUUGGACUAUAAUGUGGCUUUAAAAAUAAAUAAUGUUCCUUGGCCUUGGCUUUCUC